GCUGUCAGUAGUGUAACGGGUUAGAGCGCGCGCUUCCCGGAUAGAGUGAGAUGCGGGUUCGAGUCCCGCCUGAACGCG